ensembl:lncRNA
AAAACCUUAAUUAACAUCAGAAAAUAGAACUGCAUGUCGUAAACAUGUGUUUUUGUUGAAGGAGCUUAUAUAUAUAUAUGUAUAUACAUAUACAUAUACAUGUGUACGUGUUUAGCAUGUGUUCUCUUAUCUUGGUCAGUGAGCUGUUUUGGAUUGGCUGUGGCUUGUCUCCAACCAGAGCAUCCUCCCAUGCUAUAGCUGCCAUCUUAAUGGAACAUGAGUGUAAGCUAUAUAUGAUACUGUUUCUGUCCUUAUCCAUCACAAUUCAUUUGAACUCCCAUCAGGCAUGGCACCACAGCAUAAUCAACACAGUAUGUAUUAGCUGUAUGUUCAACUGUCCUAUAUGUUGUCAAGAACAAAUCGGCAGCCAUAAUCUGAGGAACAGCUUCAGCUUUGGAUUCUUAGUGUCUCUAUGCAGACAACCUAAAAACUCAUUGGCAAUGGGUAAUUUUAAGUUAGUAAUGUUAGAUGAUUUAAAAAUCUUACGAACAGAAACUAUUUUCCCCUUUAGUUCCCUUCCUUCCUUCAUCUGGGAGGGAAAUUUGAAUUUUCUGUAGUGCAUUGUCAACAUCUCUGGAUGUGGUAUCAGUGGGGGAAGUCCUCACUGUACAGCUUGUUGUAACAAGUGUUGGGGUUUCUCCAGGGUUGUGCUGUGUCAGCACUGGGGACCCUUUAAUGACACUUUUUCCUCCUCCUUGUAACUACAUGGUUCUAAAGUCCUGCUCUUCUCCUUGAGUUGCAAGCACUGGAAUCUUCCCUACUGCUAGUAUGAGUGCUGACAUGUGUCUUGUGUAUUGUGCCAGUGAGCAAGGAAAGAAAACCGGUUAACAGGGUAGAGCUCGAACUCAGCUGUAUGUGACGUCUUUUCAGAGUGCAAGUCGCUUAACAUAAUUCCCAGAUUGAAAGAAAAGCAUUGUGAGCAACAGUUCCUGCUGUAUGUUUUUAUGACCAGUGCAAUGAUGGUAUUCCUCAGAAGUUUGAUGGACAGAAAUUGUGAAUCAGUCCGGUAUGUAUUAUGUAAGCAUUAUUUCAGAUGGAUUUCUGAAUCAACAACUUGUGUAGUCCUUAAAAAUAUGAAAGUGAAAGUGGUAUUUGCACAAAGAAUGAAAAUGUGAUCGAGAACCCUUCCAUUUUUAUUUAAGCACAGAUGGUGUGGUGAUGAGCAUGGGAAGGACCCGAAUCAGUCAGAAUUAUACAAAUGUUAAGUUUGCAAUGCGCUCUCUCCCUCUCAUGUAGCCUCUUGCUUCCUUCCAGGCUUUUUUCCUUUUCACUGUGGAUUUUUUCUUCCUCAGCAUUUUGCUUAUAUUGUCAAUAUUGCAAUGUUUGUUCGGCUCCGACCUGGAAAGGUAUUCGAUUUUGCAGCUGACAUUUAUUUACAGGGUCACCUUUUAGUCUCCGUGUUAUGUUGCCAUUCCUAUGAACCAUCUAUCACAAGCAAUAUAACCUGCUAGCUAAAAGGUCUCAGAUAAGACCGUUCCUUUCACUGAGCCCCCAGUAAAAGGCAGAUGGAGGGUGGGAGCUUAUAUCAGUUUGCCGAGAUGUAAGAAACCUUUGAGACCACAUCUGGUUGAAGUUUUUCUAGUAUGG